AGUUCAGUGGUCUAAGGGUUAUGAUAUCUGCUUCACAUCGGGUGAAGAUCACGCAGAUGGUUCAGGGUUCGAGACCCUGCUGAACUA